CGCGUAGGUGGCUUGCCAAGCGUGUGGUGAAAGCCCGGAGCUCAACUCCGGGUCUGCCAUGCGAACUGGCAGGCUUGAGCACGGUAGAGGCCAAUGGAAUUCCGGGUGUAGCGGUGGAAUGCGUAGAGAUCCGGAAGAACACCGGUGGCGAAGGCGGUUGGCUGGGCCGUAGCUGACACUGAGGCGCGACAGCGUGGGGAGCAAACAGGAUUAGAUACCCUGGUAGUCCACGCCGUAAACGAUGGGCACUAGGUCCUUGGGGGAGCGACCCUGUGAGGGCCGGCGCUAACGCAUUAAGUGCCCCGCCUGGGGAGUACGGCCGCAAGGCUGAA
rnacentral:rRNA from 1 species